rnacentral:rRNA from 1 species
UGGGGAAUAUUGGACAAUGGGCGCAAGCCUGAUCCAGCCAUGCCGCGUGAGUGAUGAAGGCCCUAGGGUUGUAAAGCUCUUUCACCGGUGAAGAUAAUGACGGUAACCGGAGAAGAAGCCCCGGCUAACUUCGUGCCAGCAGCCGCGGUAAUACGAAGGGGGCUAGCGUUGUUCGGAUUUACUGGGCGUAAAGCGCACGUAGGCGGACUUUUAAGUCAGGGGUGAAAUCCCGGGGCUAAACCCCGGAACUGCCUUUGAUACUGGAAGUCUUGAGUAUGGUAGAGGUGAGUGGAAUUCCGAGUGUAGAGGUGAAAUUCGUAGAUAUUCGGAGGAACACCAGUGGCGAAGGCGGCUCACUGGACCAUUACUGACGCUGAGGUGCGAAAGCGUGGGGAGCAAACAGG